CUCAUUUUCAUCAGCAUUAUAUUCUAAAAUUCAGCGUAAAUGUCUAUAGAAAAGACUGAGUGUCGUCUCACUCGAGUAUUCACCACUCAGAUGACUUGAAUUUAAUAAUGUGUAAAACUAUUUGAUGUUGUCAUUAUUAGGCUCAUUUUGAAUGUCCAUAUUCCACCUUUGGAAACACCAGCACUUCCCCAGAAACUAUCAAGGUCAUCUCUGUUUGGAAGCUCCUUGCCCAAAGGAAGGGAUGGCACUCAAUAGAGCCAAGACAACCUAAUAAAAGGUCAAACAUUGCCCUCUUCUGGCAAGACAUAUUACUGUCACCCGGUGGUGGAAUUGUAAAAAAAAAAAUCACGGGGGAUGGUGUGAUCAAUUUCUUUGGGGUGGUGGGGGGGUUAUUGUUUGUGGUUUGUCCCUUAGCUAAUUUUACACAAUGAAUACAAAAUUUGUCCGAACUGCUCCCCGGGCGCUGCAGCAUAAAUGGCUGCCCACUGCACCAGGUGUAUGUGUGUUCACUGCUGUGUGUGUGCACUUUGGAUGGGUUAAAUGAAGAGCACGAAUUCUGAGUAUGGGUCACCAUACUUGGCUGUAUGUCACUUCACUUUCACUUAAUUGUAACUUGCUCAUGUUAUUGUUCUUUGUGGAUUGUAACAGUACACUCUGUACGUGGCUUUAGGUCUUAGAUUUGAUUUUACAAGUUAAAGUUAAAGAAGUUAUUUGAACAUACACACAUGAUUAUUGUGCGUAUAAUAAUAUUAGUAUUAUUUUCAGGAUGACAUGUCGUCUGAUCAGGAGGUGGUGGUGUGCUGUUCUCCUGGACAACUUCACUCCACAAAUGUAUGUAGCUGUUUGAAUGUUCCUACAUUAAACAUUAGUCUGUACUAUAUCUACCAAUAUACCUACCUCUUGUCAUUUAUUCUUUUAGCUCUCAACCACGAAGGUGGGGCUUCACCAUCAAAAGACAAUGUCUUUAGGCAGAGUCCAGCGAAGCAGAGUAUGCAGUUGUGACAACAAUCUAUCAGGUUUGUCUAAACCAAGGUUGUAUGUAGUCAGUGUUUAUAUAAUGUUUAAUAACAUUUAUAUUCAAGUAUGGAAAUCUUUUCUGAAAUCCUCAGUGAAGUUAUUUUGUCAGCGGGGUAACUGUGCAUAUUUGACACUUUCUCUGGUAUGCAGAUGGUUUAGGGAUGUGGUCACUCAAGAAGUUUUUCGGAAAGCAGCACACUUUGCCUGUUUAGACAGUAAGAACCCACCCCCCUGCACAUUCAGUGCACAUUCUCUAAUUGAAUUUUCUAGUAUGAGGCUGUUAAACUUUUUAUUUAUCUUUCCUGUAUUUUGUCUUUACACUAUAAGGUGUGGCCAACUGGAAGAAUUUCACUCCCAUCUACCGGAAAGAGUUCAGAUGCAUGUACAGCUUCAGGGAAUGCUUGCAGUGCAGAACCCUUUUCCAGUCAUACCCACCAGAGUAUAGGGGAAGAGGCCGACAUGGUGAACUUCUGGGCUUUUACUCAGAUGUUUACACAGGAUUUUGCUCCCAGAACUGUUUUUUUUUUUUUUUGCGGCAGGAAAAACAUUGGUGUGUUAAGUUCAUAGAAGGGAAAGAGAGAAUGAACUGAGAGCAACUGGUUUUGAUGUAUUAAUUGAUGUCAUUUAAAGUUAAACUUUGCAGUGUAUAGUGUUUUAAUAAAAAAGCUAUGGCAAACA
ensembl:lncRNA